rnacentral:lncRNA from 1 species
GACAGGUUUGGGGGAGUCAGUUCCAGGUAGGCAGGAUCACAGUUAGCUGGGGGGCAAGUUCAAUUCUGAGGUGCAGGAUGAUUAUUUGUCUGCCAGCUGCUCUCUUUUCCCCUUCCCCCCACUAUCUCUGUGGGGUCUGACCUCUCCCCCACCAAUUCCACUCUGCUGGGCUCAGCAACUGCAGAAAAAGCAGAACUGUGAAUGGGGGAGCACUGGGUGGGUGCAGGGAGUCGGGGUAUGGUGUAGGGUGUGUGUGUGUAGAGGGGUGUCACUUCAGGGGUCAGGGCAGCAACUCUGUUUCUGCCCCUGGGGGCCAUUGCCUCCACACUGGGAGCCUCAGCCUUUUGUGCCCAGCGUCAUCCUCCCCCCCCUCCCCCCGGCAGGAGGAAGCUGCUACAGAAAAAGGAAAGCGGCUCCCCACCCCAUACCAGGAUCUGGAAUUGAGCAGGCUGCUUCACCAGGAGCUGAGAGCAGAGAACCCUGCCCAGAACCCAGGCUGCACCAAGGCCCACUCUUAACCCCCCAGCAUGGCAUGCCAGCUGGCCACACCCUAUGGCUGGAUUUGACGGCUUCCAGCACAGCAGCACCUCCCCAGCGGCUCCCCAUGAUGCUCUCAUCCAAUGAGAUGACGGGACACACCGACUGAUGGCCAGUGGCCAUAAAGGAGAAAGCUGACUGGCAAGGGGUAGAGCACAUAGUUGUCCUUCCCAGCCAACUGGAUUGUUCCUUUGACUCUCGCUCUCCCAAGCCUGCGUGCAUGUGAUCAGCGGCCGCAGCUCUCCAUCCACCAGGCCGUCUCAUUCCCGUUUUCCGGGGGGGGGGCGU